GUGGUUUAGAAGACCUUUCUGAGGAGAUGACGAUUUACAAUGAGACCUGGAUGAUGGGAAGGAACCAGCCAUGUGCAGAUCUGGGAGAAGAACUCUCUAGGCAGAGGAUCAGCAAAUGUAAAUUUGGGAACAAGCUUGAAAGCUGGACAGUGUGGUUGAGCAUAGUGAGCCAGGGCAUGGUAAGCAUUGUAGUUUGCAGGGGUGGCUUCAGGUGAGUUUGGAGAGUUUGAAUUGAGAGGUAGGAUCACCACUUGGGAGGGGUAUGCUACUGGUAUCUAGUGGGGAGAGGCCAUGGAUGCUGCUAAGCAUCCUACAAUGGACAGGCCAGUCCCCACCAAAAGAAUCGUCCAGCCCCAAAUGUCCAUAGCACUGAGGCUGAGAAACGCUUAUCUCUGUAUACAACCCCUGAUCUCUAUACACGACACUAUAGCCUUAUAGGCCAAGGAAAGGAGAUCGGAUUUUAUUGUAAGUGAAAGAGAAUCCAUCAGAUGACUUGAAGGAGUGGAGUGUCUUUAUGGGACUUACAUUUCAGAAGAUAAGUAUGAUUGUUGAAUGGAAACUACAUGGUAGCAGGUCAUGAGUGGAAGCAGAGAGAAGAGCGAGUUUGGGUUUUUAAAAAUUUCCCUGAUGGUAGCAGUAAGUAUUCCAUGUGAAUGGGGACAGUGGCUUAGUUUAAGGGAGCAGCAGUGGAAAUGGAGAGAAAUGGAAGGAUUUGGGAGGGAUGGGGGAGGCUCACUGAUGGAUUCGAUAUGGGGCCUGGAUGAAAGAAGGAUCAAGGAUGACCCUCAGGUUGUGGCCUAGGCAACUGGGUAGGAUGCUGGAGCUGUAUCUUUACAUGGGGAGGAAGGAGUUUGGGGAUAAUAGGGAGAAACCAAGAGUUCUCUCCUAGACACGGUAGAUUUGACAAACCUAGCAUAAGGUGUUGGAAAUACAGUCACAUAAGGGACUUCCCCUCAUUGGGCCUUGGUUUCUUCCUUUAGAACAUGAGCAAUGGUCCUGAAAUUCUAUGAUCCUCUAUUGAUGAAGCCUGGAGGAGAGGGAUCGGGUUUGACGGACUUUGGCAGUUAUCACUCAAUUCUAUACCUCACCGAAUUCUCCCCUCAGAGCACCGCUAUGAAAAUAGAAGAGAGAUGAGGAAAUGAGUCCUACUUUUCAGAAACCAAAUUACGCUGCAUGAGAACUGAUAUUCCUAAGGAGCCAGGGCUGAAAAAAGGGCUCAUUCUUUUGAGGUAACGUGGAGCCAAAUGAGCUGAAACACUGUUUUGAGAAAAUGAGAAGGCGUGAGACAAAAUGGGGAAGACUGAGAGUCUGUCUGUGAGCUCUGUGGGGCCAGGGCCAGUAGCACUUCUGCACUUGAAGGGCCAUCUGUGAUCCAGUUAGAACUGCUUUCUGUGGCUUGCAUACAGAACAUCCUGACAGAUGCUGGGUCUACUCCAUGGGAGGUUGUCAGAAGAAGCAGCUGUUUGCAUGGCUUGAAAUGCUUUAGACUCUCAGCAGGACAUCAGGCUGUGGGACAAUUUUUGCUCGAGUUUGCUGAGGACCUCAAGAUCCAGCCCUCAUCCUUGGCUCAUACUUCAGCUAGCCUGUUUUCCCCAAAUCACUCUACAUAUCAUCUUCAGCUAAUCAUCAGUCUCUGCCUGUGUAGAAGAUCAAAAACAACACUCCAUAAGGACAGCUUGGCAUCUGACUUGGCGCUGAUGAAGGACGAGUACAACUUGGUGGUUAAGCCUGUGGGCUCUGUGAGGACCACCGGGGUCCAAAUUAUUGCUUUGCACCUUCCUUGACGUGCAUCUUUGGGUGUGUUACAUUAUCCCUCCAAGCCCUGGUCCCCUCAUCUGCAAACAAGGCAUGGAAAUGCUAAUAGUUAACUUUUAGAGUGUCUGUACAUGUUAAGGAAAAUAAGUAUUGGGAGGAAAAUAUUUGAAAUAUUUUUUCAAAACUUGGAUAGAGGAUGACUUUCCAAUCAAAGCAGACUGUAAACCCAGAACCCACAAAGAAAAAGAUAAAUGCGCGUGAUACGUUGAAAAAAACAAACACCAAACGUAUGGCCAAAGAACAAAACAAAAUAAAAAACCAAACUGUAAACUGGGGAAUUUUUUUGUAACACAUAUGAUAGAAAAAGUAGUAAUAUUCCUAAGAUGCAAAAACCUCCCAUAAACUGAGCAGAAACAGAUAAACCACUCAAUAGAAAAAUGGACAAAUGCUUGAGUAGGCUCCUCACCAAAGAGGGGAUCCAAAUGGUCAGUGGGCAUCCAAAAGGAUGCUCACGGACAUGCAAAUCGAAGCUAAAAUGAGACACCAUUUUUUUUAACCCAUUAGAUUGGGAAAAAAACUGAAAAAGAGAAAAUAUCGGAAACUGACAAAAAUGUGAGGAAGGAAACCCUCUCAUAUAUGUCUGGUGGGGAUAUGAAAUGUGACAACAAGUAGUACUGGAAACAAUUUAAAUACGUGUUAAAAAUAAACUACACACAGUUUUUUACCUAGCAACCUUACAUUUAAGAAUCAUCUUAUGUAAAUAAAACCAUCUCUAUAGUAGGAUAUAUGUUCAAGGAUGUUUAUUACCUUAUUUCUUUGGGGAAAAAUUGGAAACCAGCCUGAAUGUUCCUCAACAUAAGACUUGUUGGAUAAAUUGUUCUAUACUUACUAAGGAAUAUAUUACAGUCAUUGAAAAGAGUAAGUAUAAACUGUGGUACAUCCAUUCAAUGGAAUACUACUCAGCGACAAAAAGUCAACUACUGAUGUACACACCAACUUGGAUGAAUCUCAAAGGCACUAUGCUGAGUGACAGAAGCCAAUCUCAAAAGGUUACAUACUGUGUGAUUUAUAUAAUAGUCUCCAAAUGGCACAACUAUAAUGUUGGAAAACAAAUUAGUGGUUGCCAGGGGUUGGGGUGGGGGGAGGGUGUGGCUACAAAGGAGUACAAGGGGACAUUUUGAUGUAAAUGCUGCAUAUCCUUAUUGUGGUGGUGGUAUUAUGAAUGUAGACGUGCACUAAAGUUCAUAGAACUGCCUUAUCCUAAAAGGGUCAAUUUACUGUGUAAUAAUUUGUGUUAAAAAAUUGACAAAAAUAGCAAAAAUAAGUUAUAUCUGGGUUUAUUGAACUUGAGGGGUCUCCAUGAUAUAUUUACGGGGAAAAAAGUUGUAAAACAAGAUGUAUAGUAUGAUUCUAUUUUUAUAAAAACAAAUACCCCCAAGGCCUUUUCUACAUACGAUUACGUGUUCGUGUAUGUUUCUAGGAGUAUGAGGAAGCGGUGGAAAAUCACAUCAGGCUGUGACGUUGAUUAUCUCAGGAAGGCAAGACUAGAAGGGGAACAUUAAGGGGCAUUUCUUUACACAUCUUUGCAUUAAUUCACUGGUUAUAUUGAGUAAAUCCUACAUUUUAAAUUAAAACAAGAAAACCAAACAAAAAUAAUAAAGGAAAAUUAAGGAAGUAGAAGAAAACCAUAAAGAAGGCUAACAGGAAAGAAAAAGAGAAAGGUCAGACAAGGAACAGGCUGGAAGAAAAAUGACUUUGGAACUCAGUACCAAUCAGAUUCCCAAAUCAGAAAUGGAUGAGUGUUGCUGGAGCAGGAAAAGCAUUCAGGAUCUGGGGCCAGGGACAAGCAGUCUUUCGAGGGUUAAGACUUGGGCUCAUUUCUAGGUCUCUAGCCAGCUUCUUUGGCUCUCCUUUGUUUCUCUCAUCUGUCUGUUUGCUCAUCCAUGCAUCCACGCAUCCAUCCAUCACCCAUCACCAUUUGCUAAAGGCCCACUAUGUUUUAAUGUAAAAAAUUUCUUAUCCUCUAUCCCUCCUCAAAGUCAUAAUAAAAUUCAAAGUA